rnacentral:ncRNA from 1 species
ACCCGAGCGUAUCCGGGUCAAUGAUACGCACCUCCCUGUUGGACUGCGCCGGGCCAUUGUGCCCGGCUUUUUUU